AUUGAACGCUGGCGGCAUGCUUUACACAUGCAAGUCGGACGGCAGCACAGAGAAGCUUGCUUCUUGGGUGGCGAGUGGCGAACGGGUGAGUAACAUAUCGGAACGUACCGAGCAGUGGGGGAUAACUAAUCGAAAGAUUAGCUAAUACCGCAUAUUUUCUGAGGAAGAAAGCAGGGGACCUUUGGGCCUUGCGCUGUUUGAGCGGCCGAUAUCUGAUUAGCUAGUUGGUGGGGUAAAGGCCUACCAAGGCGACGAUCAGUAGCGGGUCUGAGAGGAUGAUCCGCCCGACUGGGACUGAGACACGGCCCAGACUCCUACGGGAGGCAGCAGUGGGGAAUUUUGGACAAUGGGCGCAAGCCUGAUCCAGCCAUGCCGCGUGUCUGAAGAAGGCCUUCGGGUUGUAAAGGACUUUUGUCAGGGAAGAAAAGGGCGGGGUUAAUACCCCUGUCUGAUGACGGUACCUGAAGAAUAAGCACCGGCUAACUACGUG
rnacentral:rRNA from 1 species